rnacentral:lncRNA from 1 species
GUGUCUGGUACAAAGACCGAACGAAGUUCGAUCCUAUGUACGGGUUCAUAUACAGUACUAGGAUUUUGGGGGGCUGGAGCUGACGAACUUCUAGAACCGCUAGAGGAGGAAGUGUUGGAGGACAUUUUGAAUCAAAUAAAAAUCUCAAAAGAAUUAUGAAAAAUAGGAAACAAAGCACUCACGGAGAAACUGAAUGGGCGGAAUGC